GAUGAACGCUGGCGGCGUGCCUAAUACAUGCAAGUCGAGCGAACAGACGAGGAGCUUGCUCCCCUGACGUUAGCGGCGGACGGGUGAGUAACACGUGGAUAACCUACCUCUAAGACUGGGAUAACAUCGGGAAACCGGAGCCAAUACCGGCUAAUAUAUUGAACCGCAGGGUUCAAUAGUGAAAGACGGUUUUGCUGUCACUUUUAGAUGGAUCCGCGUCGCAUUAGCUAGUUGGUAAGGUAACGGCUUACCAAGGCAACGAUGCGUAGCCGACCUGAGAGGAUGAUCGGCCACACUGGAACUGAGACACGGUCCAGACUCCUACGGGAGGCAGCAGUAGGGAAUCUUCCGCAAUGGGCGAAAGCCUGACGGAGCAACACCGCGUGAGUGAUGAAGGUCUUCGGAUCGUAAAACUCUGUUAUUAGGAAAGAACAAAUGUGUAAUUAACUAUGCACGUCUUGACGGUACCUAAACAAAAAGCCACGGCUAACUACGUG
rnacentral:rRNA from 1 species